CUUUUUAGGAUGUUAAUUUGGAAGAUGUUAAAAUCUUUGAUCAUUUGAUGGGUUGUCUCUCUGACAUAGGCACAGCCCUGGGUAUGUACUAUGCAGCUAAAACCCUAUAACACCUGCUGAGCUCAAUGAAACUUGCAAGGCUGUGACUGGCUCAUCUGUCAGCAGUCAUCUUGUUGAUGUCUUUUCACAAUUUUUGAUAUAAAUAAUAAUGGAGAAUGAAGUAGAAAGGAGUUUGUACAUGUGUUAAAAUUAAGAAACUCACGUGGUUUGGAAAAUUAGUCAUGAGAAUUAGGACUAGCCAGCCAAACUAAUGAACUCGGUUGUGACUUGCUCUGCAAUAGCAGUCAAAGAUAAACUAGGGAUUGAGGCUGGAGUUGAUUGACAAUGUGAGCAAUCAAGUCAGGAUUAUGAACUAUUUAUAACAGAAAUAUUUUUAUUGUUGGACAGGACAAAAUAUAUAACUUUUUUAUGCACAUGUAUACCAUUCUGUUUGAGCAGCAACAAUACAGAAGCUUUAUGAUUAUACAUACUUUUGUAAUAAAUGGA